UCAGGCCUAACACAUGCAAGUCGAGCGGACAGAAGGGAGCUUAGCUCCCGGAUGUUAGCGGCGGACGGGUGAGUAACACGUGGGUAACCUAGCCUGUAAGACUGGGAUAACUCCGGGAAACCGGAGCUAAUACCGGAUAGUUCCUUGAACCGCAUGGUUCAAGGAUGAAAGACGGUUUCGGCUGUCACUUACAGAUGGACCCGCGGCGCAUUAGCUAGUUGGUGGGGUAAUGGCUCACCAAGGCGACGAUGCGUAGCCGACCUGAGAGGGUGAUCGGCCACACUGGGACUGAGACACGGCCCAGACUCCUACGGGAGGCAGCAGUAGGGAAUCUUCCGCAAUGGACGAAAGUCUGACGGAGCAACGCCGCGUGAGUGAUGAAGGUUUUCGGAUCGUAAAGCUCUGUUGUUAGGGAAGAACAAGUGCGAGAGUAACUGCUCGCACCUUGACGGUACCUAACCAGAAAGCCACGGCUAACUACGUGCCAGCAGCCGCGGUAAUACGUAGGUGGCAAGCGUUGUCCGGAAUUAUUGGGCGUAAAGGGCUCGCAGGCGGUUUCUUAAGUCUGAUGUGAAAGCCCCCGGCUCAACCGGGGAGGGUCAUUGGAAACUGGGAAACUUGAGUGCAGAAGAGGAGAGUGGAAUUCCACG
rnacentral:rRNA from 1 species